GAUGGGCCAUAGCUCAGUGGCAGAGCAUCUGUUUGGCAUGCAGAAAGCCCCAGGUUCAAUCCCUGGUGGCAUCU